rnacentral:rRNA from 1 species
GAAGUUUUGAUUAUGGCUCAGGAACGAACGCCUGGCGGCGUGCUUAACACAUGCAAGUCGAACGGAAAGGCCCCCACUUUUUUGGUGGGGGUGCUCGAGUGGCGAACGGGUGAGUAACACGUGGGUGAUCUGCCCUGUACUUCGGGAUAAGCUUGGGAAACUGGGUCUAAUACCGGAUAGGACCAUGGUUUAGUGUCUCAUGGUGGAAAAAUUAUUGUUUUGGUGCAGGAUGAGCUCGCGGCCUAUCAGCUUGUUGGUGGGGUAAUGGCCUACCAAGGCGUCGACGGGUAGCCGGCCUGAGAGGGUGGACGGCCACAUUGGGACUGAGAUACGGCCCAGACUCCUACGGGAGGCAGCAGUGGGGAAUAUUGCACAAUGGGCGCAAGCCUGAUGCAGCGACGCCGCGUGGGGGAUGACGGCCUUCGGGUUGUAAACUCCUUUCGUUAGGGACGAAGCCGCACCUGUUUUGGGUGUGGUGACGGUACCUUUGUUAAGAAGCACCGGCUAACUACGUGCCAGCAGCCGCGGUAAUACGUAGGGUGCGAGCGUUGUCCGGAAUUACUGGGCGUAAAGAGCUCGUAGGUGGUUUGUUGCGUCGUCUGUGAAAUUCCGGGGCUUAACUUCGGGGUGGCAGGCGAUACGGGCAUAACUAGAGUGCUGUAGGGGAGACUGGAAUUCCUGGUGUAGCGGUGGAAUGCGCAGAUAUCAGGAGGAACACCGAUGGCGAAGGCAGGUCUCUGGGCAGUAACUGACGCUGAGGAGCGAAAGCAUGGGGAGCGAACAGGAUUAGAUACCCUGGUAGUCCAUGCUGUAAACGGUGGGCGUUAGGUGUGGGGACCGGUUUGGUUUCUGUGCCGUAGCUAACGCAUUAAGCGCCCCGCCUGGGGAGUACGGCCGCAAGGCUAAAACUCAAAGGAAUUGACGGGGGCCCGCACAAGCGGCGGAGCAUGUGGAUUAAUUCGAUGCAACGCGAAGAACCUUACCUGGGUUUGACAUGCACCAGACGGUUGUAGAGAUACGUACCUCCCUUUGUGGUUGGUGUGCAGGUGGUGCAUGGUUGUCGUCAGCUCGUGUCGUGAGAUGUUGGGUUAAAGUCCCGCAAACGAGCGCGAACCCUUGUCUUAUGUUGCCAGCGACUUUGGGUGGGGACUCAUGAGAGACUGCCGGGGUUAACUCGGAGGAAAGGUGGGGAUGACGUCGAAAUCAUCGAUGCCCUUUAUGCCCGAGGGCUUCACGACAUGCUACGAAUGGUUAGUACGAACGCGCGGCGAAACCUGUGAAGGGUGAAGCGAUUCGCUGUAAAGCUAUUCUCAGUUCGGAAUUGGGGUCUGCGGACUCGACCCCAUAAGUUCGGAGUCGCGGUGAACGCGAUGCCGGCGGAUGCUGCGGUUAAGACGUUCCCGGGCCUUGCCGCACACGCCCGUCGAG